GGGCGCAUAGCUCAGUGGGAGAGCGCUUGCUUCACACGCAAGAGGUCGAUGGUUCAAAUCCAUCUGCGCCCACCA
rnacentral:tRNA from 1 species